GACCGUCCCCCCAAAGCAAGGCCGAAGAAGACACGAGGCCGAUGUCCAGCUCGUCUUAGGCCUCCAAUGCGCUCCAAAGGCUGACGGGGGUCAAGUCCGUUCCCGCUGGGGACAAGUGCAUCGUCAGUUCCAGAACGACCUCUCCCUUGCUUAGCCCUGUCCCAGGAGGUCAGAAUGACCCACCGCCCUGGGGUACCCGCUCCCGCCUCCCUGUUGUCGUCGUGUUGGGCCAAUCGUCUGACUCUGGGUCGCUGCCCGGGCGCACGGGCUCAGGAGGGCAGCAGCUGCACGGGGUUCCCAUUCCACCCGGGACAGGACUGCAGUUUGUCACCUGUUUGGCUGGCCCCCUUAACAGUCUAAGCUCUGUUCCUCCUAGGAAAGAUUCAGCUACUCUAUCUCCUGGCUGAAGUCUCCAGGCUCCUCAAACACUGUGGUCCCCGAGGCUGUGAGACUCUCUCUUGCAAGUCAGCACCUGAGGAUCCCUAGUCCAAGCUUCAUUCCUCUGGGUCCAAGAGCCUAGAAGAAAAGCCUGGAGCCACACACUCACCUAGGUGAAGCCAUAAAGAGGUCUUUUCAAGGCUUGACUAAACACCUAAGAGAAGCAACUUAAGGGAGAAACGACUUAGUUGGAUAACGGCUCAGAGGGUUCACCACAUCAGGGAAGCCUGGCAGCUUGAAUGAGUCAGACUAUUGUGGCUGAAGGUUCCCACAUGAUGUGAACCACAAACAAACAAGAACAAGGAAAUCUGGCCUGUCAUUCUCAAUGACUAUCACCAGUGACCUUCUGGUGCCAGCCAUGCUUCCUGCUACAAAGGCUCCACAGCCUCACAAAACAGGGGACCAGGGGUUCACACACAUGAGCCUAUAGAGGACACAUCACAGUCAACAUAAGAGUGGAACUGAGACACAGUGUGGAAGCCAGAGGGAAGAACACUGAUCCUACAUCUUAAUAAAUGGCCACAGGAGGACUGCCACUUGCUCUUCAGUAGCAUGUAAACCUCAGAUAGAUUGUCAUCUUUAUGCUUUAAAGGCUACUUUAAGUGACAACGUUAAUGAUGUAUUUAGUGAUGACAGUUCAACACUAAAUAAAGCCCAACCAUCAUAAGCUUAUUGAAUAUAAGUGUCUCGCACACCGUGAGCCACCCAGCAAUCUUAUGCAAAAAUGCAGAUGUGCCACUAAAGACAUAGACAGCUCAUGACCUCACAUGGUGUCUCUGCAGGACACUCACUUAUGUGGAUAUGACAGAGCAUGGGUCAUUUGGACUGCUGAAGGGUGUUGUUUUACUGGGGAGAUGGCUCAACCAGGAAAAUGCUGACAGCAUAAGCCUGAGGACCUGAGUUAAGACCCCAGAACCCAUGUUACAAGGAGUCUGGAGUGAUGCUGCACGCUUGGUAUGCUGGUCCUGGGGAGUGGGAGACAAGGAGAUCCCCAGGGCUCCAGAGCCAGUCAGUUCCGUAAGCUCAAGUUCAAGGAGAGACUUGUAGAAAACAAGUUGGCGUCUCCUUAGGAAGGACGUUUGAGCUGAUAUCUGUACUCCACACACACAGAUACACACUUUAUUUUAGAACCCAUGCUCGUAAAGGAGAGUAGAGGUGGGUAAGUAUGAAGACAGCACAGAACAGUUGCAGCUUUGAUAUAUUUAUUCAGCAGCUCCGACCUUGGAUGGUCACACCUAGACUUGUGAUUUGACUUAAGUAGUUUUCUCUUUUCCGGAGAUAAGAGUUUUAGACUUCCUAUACAGUACCAGGUAAAUUAUGUCUUAAAUAAAAAAGCUUUGUAUGGGAUGGUUGCAACCAACUGUGGAUCAUCGUAAACUCGCCAAGCACAUCUGAGGUAGGGCAGGCUAAGUGGUGGUAUUCCGAAGGUUGGGCAGAUUAUUAGACUUUGGUUGGUCCAUUGGUGUGGAGUCCUAUCAUGAGCAACAAGAGUAACUCUUACUGCACUGAGAAAUAGUACUGCAAGUGCCAGAGAGAGGCCCACGUACAAAAAAUGUCCUUUAUUUUCUUCAUUUUUUUUGUAUUCAUUAUUAUCAUUAUUAUUUACUUCUUCACUUUACAUCUACUCACUGCCACCUCCUGGUCACCUCCUCCCACAACCCUUCCCCUUAACCUUUCCCCUUUUCCUCUGAGCGAUUGGGGGCCCCUCUGGAUAUUCCCCCACCCUGGCACAUCAAGUCUUUAUGAGUCUCUAGAUACAUCCUCUCCCACUGAGGCCUGACAAGGCAGCCCAGCCAGAGGAACAUAUCCCACAGACAGGCAACAGCUUUUGGGAUAGACCCUGCUCCAGUUGUUUGGGACCCACAUGAAGACUAAGCUGCACAUCUGCUACAUAUGUGUGGGGAGGCCUAGGUCCAGCCAGUGUAUGCUCUUUGGUUCAUGGUUCAGUCUCUAAGAGCCCCAAGGGUCCAGUUUAGUUGACUCUGUUGGUCUUCCUGUGGCAUUCCUAUCCCCUUAGAGGAUGUAAUCCUUUGUUUUAUUCUUCCCUAAGAGUCUCCAAGCUCCAUCCACUGUUUGGCUGUGGGUGUCUGCAUCUGCCUGAGUCAGCUGCUGGUUUGAGUCUCUCAGAGGACAACCAUGCUAUAAUCCUGUCUGCAAGCAUAACAGAGUAUCAUUAAGAGUGCUUGGUGCUUGCUCAUGGGAUGGAUCUCAGGUUGGGCCCAUUAUAGGUUGGCCUUUCCCUCAGGCUCUGCUCCAUCCUCCCAACGUCCCAACCCUUGUAGACAUUUCUUGUAGACAGGAUGAAUUUUGGGUUGAAAGUUUUGUGGGUAGAUUGGUGUCCCUAUUGCUCCAUAGGGGGCCCUGCCAGGCUAUAAGAGGCAGCCUCUUCAGGUCCCAUAUCCCCAGUGCUGUCAGUCACAGCUAAGGACAUCCCCAUUGAUCCUUGGGCACUUCCAUUAUCCGAGGUCUCUGUCUCUUCCUGGAGAUUCCCCUUAUGUCCCCUCCCCUGUCUGUUGCAGGUUUCCAUUCAUUUUCAUGGCCAUCCCUCCUUUCCAUCCCCACACCUGAUCCUGAACUUCCUUUCCCCUCCCCAUCCUCUCUCUCUCCCAGUUCCCUCCCUCCAUUUGCCCUUAUGACAAUUUUAUUUCCUCUUCUAAGUAAGAUUCAAGCAUCCUUGCUUAUGACUUCCUUCUUGUAUAGCUUCUUUGGGUCUGCAGAGUGUAGCAUAGAAAUCCCAUAUUUUUAUGGCUAAUAUCCACUUAUAAGUGAGUAUAUACCGUGGAUGUCCUUUUGGGACUGGGUUACCUCACCCAGAAUGAUAUUUUCAAGAUCCAUCCAUUUGCAUGCAAAAUUCAUGAUGUCUUUGUUUUUCCUAACUGAAAAGUACUCCAUUACAUAGAUGUACCACAUUUUCUUAUCCAUUCUUUGCUUGAGGGACAUCUAGGUUGUUUCUAGUUUCUGGCUAUUACAAAUAAAGCUGGUAUGAAC
ensembl:lincRNA Gm13652 uncharacterized LOC110317530